UACGAAGGGGGCUAGCGUUGCUCGGAAUCACUGGGCGUAAGGCGCACGUAGGCGGAUCUUUAAGUCAGGGGUGAAAUCCCAAGGCUCAACCUUGGAACUGCCUUUGAUACUGGGGAUCUCGAGUCCGGAAGAGGUGAGUGGAACUGCGAGUGUAGAGGUGAAAUUCGUAGAUAUUCGCAAGAACACCAGUGGCGAAGGCGGCUCACUGGUCCGGUACUGACGCUGAGGUGCGAAAGCGUGGGGAGCAAACAGG
rnacentral:rRNA from 1 species